AUAUUGUUUCUACAGGAUGGUUUUGGUUCCCUUCCCUUCCCACCCCCCCUUAAGCCUGUCAGCCCCCUCCAAAUGUCUCAGGAUCCCCCCUCUCCCCUGGGGCUGGGUGACAGCACCCCGGCUGCGUUCACACCCCAGUGUCACAGGGCGAGCUGUUCUGGAGAGAAAACCAUCUGUCGUGGCUGAGCGGGGAGCUUGAACACCCAGGCCAGGGACACCCCUCCCCAGCUCCCAGAGAGGCCCCCUGAGGGGUGAGCCCUCUUUCCACCUUCCCCUAUCCAUGCACCCCCUCGCAAUAAAACCAACUCUAAAAUCACAGCUGUCGUCCUAGCCAGUGGGGGCGACCGGACUUGGGGGGUGGAGCCCUCUGGGACUUCCGUAGGAACAAGGGCUGCGGCCCACCGCGACACUUACACAGACCUCGGGGAUUGCACUAAACCCUCGUUCCUAGCUCCGCACUCAGCUUCGCCUGUCCUGCCCGCCCACUUUGCCUUAACUACCCGCCCGUCCUGGGGGCCACAGCCUCUGCAUGGGCCCAGAGCCGGGACCCCCCCAGCCCAGCCCCGCCCUCCCCAGACUCCGCGCAAUCACAUACUGUAUAUAGACGUGAAUCGAUUUUAUUUUUAUUCUUUAAAUUAAGGUCGUGAUAAAGUGUUGCCAAAGAUACCUGCUGAAUUCUCGCGUUUCAGGAAACAAACAAACAAAAAAAAAUGAUAUUUGAGGAGGGUCGUGUUGACUCCAUAUGAAAGGACACAGCUCAAAGCUUUUUUGUUUGGUUGUUUGGGGUUUUUUGUGUUUUCUUUUUUUGGGGUGUUUUUUUUUUUUAACUGCCUGGUACAAAAAAAAAAGAAAAAAAAAAAGAAAAACAAUGCGAAAUUGUUAUUUCCAUUCUCAUGGUGAAGUUGCGUGGACGCGUGUGUGCGUGUGUGCAAGAGAGCGGGAGUGAGGUCCAGCCUGCCGGGCCCAGGAGAGA
rnacentral:lncRNA from 1 species